UACCAGCACCCCGAGUGGUCGGGACGAUUAUUGGGCCUAAAGCAUCCGUAGCCGGUCCUGCAAGUCUUCCGUUAAAUCCAGCUGCUCAACAGAUGGGCUGCGGGGGAUACUACAUGGCUAGGAGGCGGGAGAGGCAAGCGGUACUUUAUGGGUAGGGGUAAAAUCCGUUGAUCCAUAGAAGACCACCAGUGGCGAAGGCGGCUUGCCAGAACGCGCUCGACGGUGAGGGAUGAAAGCGUGGGGAGCGAUCCGG
rnacentral:rRNA from 1 species